CGGUGUGCUUAACACAUGCAAGUGGUGCGACGAACCAGGCUUCGGCCUGGGGCAAAGCCGCGAACGGGUGAGUAACACGUGGGUAAUCUGCCCCAAUGACCGGGACAACCCGAGGAAACUCGGGCUAAUACCGGAUGUGGUCCACAGGCUUAAGCCUGUGUACUAAAGGUAGCUUCGGCUUCCGCAUUGGGAGGGGCCCGCGGCCCAUUAGCUUGUUGGUGGGGUCAAGGCCUACCAAGGCAACGAUGGGUAGCUGGUCUGAGAGGACGAUCAGCCACACUGGGACUGAGACACGGCCCAGACUCCUACGGGAGGCAGCAGUGGGGAAUCUUGCGCAAUGCGCGAAAGCGUGACGCAGCAACACCGCGUGAGGGAAGACGGCCUUAGGGUUGUAAACCUCUUUCAGUUGGGACGAAGGUUCAGCGGUGAAUAGCCGACUGGAUUGACGGUACCUUCAGAAGAAGCUCCGGCUAACUACGUGCCAGCAGCCGCGGUAAUACGUAGGGAGCGAGCGUUGUCCGGAAUCAUUGGGCGUAAAGAGCGCGUAGGUGGAUCAAUUAGUCUGCUGUGAAAGUCAAAGGCUCAACCUUUGAAAGCCGGUGGAUACUGUUGAUCUAGAGUACGGAAGAGGCGAGUGGAAUUCCUGGUGUAGCGGUGGAAUGCGCAGAUAUCAGGAGGAACACCAAUAGCGAAGGCAGCUCGCUGGGACGUUACUGACACUGAGGCGCGAAAGCGU
rnacentral:rRNA from 1 species